CGUAUCGACAUGUUUAAUUUAAUCAGUCUUACGCUUUGAUUUAUACAAGUCGCUUGUAACCGAGUUUGUAACGAUGGUCGGUCAGGUUUACUUGAAAAAUUCCGAUUGAAAAUCGAAUCUACCAAGCACAAUCCUCUUUAGCAAUACACAGCUGCAACACUAUACAAACGUUAAUUGUAACUCGUUCACGGCACGAUGACUUCGCAUCAGGUUCGGUUAGAAAGAGAUUAUUAGCUAUUUCAAUGUGAAAUUAGUGCCGGUCCAAACAAUGUGAAUGAUCUACAGCAGAUACCACAGACACGUUUAAAGAGGGCUAUUGUUUGACGACCAACUGGUAGAUCCAAUACCAACCACCCGCAGAGGAUAUCAUUAGACUUAUCGCCGACUAUGCCUACCAACCAACUAAAAGAAUUAACUCUAUAGAAACCGUACCAUUGUAACCUCUCGGCGGUAGUUCAUUAUGGGCGACU